AUUGAACGCUGGCGGCAGGCCUAACACAUGCAAGUCGAACGAGUGGCGGACGGGUGAGUAAUGUCUGGGAAACUGCCCGAUGGAGGGGGAUAACUACUGGAAACGGUAGCUAAUACCGCAUACAAUCGGAUGUGCCCAGAUGGGCGUAGCUAGUAGGUGGGGUAACGGCUCACCUAGGCGACGAUCCCUAGCUGGUCUGAGAGGAUGACCAUCCACACUGGAACUGUGCGACGGUCCAGACUCCUCCGGGAGGCAGCAGUGUGGAAUAUUGCACAAGUGGCGCAAGCCUGAUACAGCCAUGCCGCGUGUAUGAAGAAGGCCUUCGGGUUUUAAAGUACUUUCAGCGAGGAGGCGUUACUCGCAGAAGAAGCACCGGCUAACUCCGUGCCAGCAGCCGCGGUAAUUC
rnacentral:rRNA from 1 species